rnacentral:lncRNA from 10 species
CAGAUUUUGAAGAAACCUAAUAAUAUCCAAGGGCUUGAAUUACAUGAGAGUUCCUCAUUGCUAGUUCUCAGAAAGAGUAUGCUUUUGACAAAUUUUUUACCUAUCUACAACAAAAGUAAAAUGACUUUUAUAAAACAAAUAUAUUACUUUUUUGGUGUUAAAAUGAAAUGGCUUAAUUAUGUUUUAUAAUUGUUAUUUUAAUAAUUUUAUUUGUCCAAAAAUAAAUUGGUAAUCUUAAAACGGUGAAAGAUAAAUUGUGCAAUAUGAUAUCUUUUUUGGUAAAAAUAAACUGUAUGUUUUACAUUUGCAGAAUCAUGUUUGACUAAGAUGUUGUAAAUGAACUUCUUGUAACAAAAAAGCCAUUUGAACACAAAUUACUGAGCAUCACUGGUCGGAGAGAUCAUUUAUCACUUCUUAAUAAAUGAUCAGACAAUGACCUCAAACCUACGUAAGUCUAAAACAGGGCUUUGAGUUGCUGCUAAAGUGACAAAUUUGAAAAUCUGAUUCACUGUAAUGAAGAUUGAAAACAUAGGUACAAAAACUGAAUGUGAGAAACUGAGUGACUAGCCCGCUUAUCCAAGACCCUUAAGAGGUCUGUGGUUAUCUGAAGUUAAUCGUGGUCUCUGGUUAUCGGUAAAGGCAUAAAUCAGCUCUCUUUAAAAUAGCUUUCCUAAACUAGGCACAAGUGAUUUUUCAGAUUAAGAUUCAGCAGAAAGCUCAUAAUUUAAGAUAGUACAAAGCAAGAGCUUGUAUGUGGAGAAUUAAUAAAUAAGAAAUGUAGUCACCACAACAACUGUAGUUAUUGGAGUUUUCAGAAUGAGAAUAUAGC